GCUGGGUGUGGUGGCGCACACCUGUAAUCCCAGCUACUCGGGAGGCUAAGGCAGGAGAAUCACUUGAACCCGGGAGGCAGAGGUUGCAGUGAGCCAAGAUCGUGCCACUGCACUCCAGCCUGGGCAACAGAGCGAGACUCUGUCUCAA
rnacentral:SRP_RNA from 1 species